rnacentral:rRNA from 1 species
CAGUCGAACGGAUCCUUCGGGAUUAGUGGCGGACGGGUGAGUAACACGUGGGAACGUGCCCUUUGGUUCGGAACAACUCAGGGAAACUUGAGCUAAUACCGGAUGUGCCCUUCGGGGGAAAGAUUUAUCGCCAUUGGAGCGGCCCGCGUCUGAUUAGCUAGUUGGUGGGGUAAAGGCCCACCAAGGCGACGAUCAGUAGCUGGUCUGAGAGGAUGAUCAGCCACAUUGGGACUGAGACACGGCCCAAACUCCUACGGGAGGCAGCAGUGGGGAAUCUUGCGCAAUGGGCGAAAGCCUGACGCAGCCAUGCCGCGUGAAUGAUGAAGGUCUUAGGAUUGUAAAAUUCUUUCACCGGGGACGAUAAUGACGGUACCCGGAGAAGAAGCCCCGGCUAACUUCGUGCCAGCAGCCGCGGUAAUACGAAGGGGGCUAGCGUUGCUCGGAAUUACUGGGCGUAAAGGGAGCGUAGGCGGACUGUUAAGUUAGAGGUGAAAGCCCAGGGCUCAACCUUGGAAUUGCCUUUGAUACUGGCAGUCUUGAGUACGGAAGAGGUAUGUGGAACUCCGAGUGUAGAGGUGAAAUUCGUAGAUAUUCGGAAGAACACCAGUGGCGAAGGCGACAUACUGGUCCGUUACUGACGCUGAGGCUCGAAAGCGUGGGGAGCAAACAGGAUUAGAUACCCUGGUAGUCCACGCCGUAAACGAUGAGU